AAAAUUCUAAGGUUUCCGCAUAGUUAAAAUACACAGAAACUUAAAGAGAUGAAAUAUUAUUAUUCAAAUGACAUCGAUUUUCUUCUUUGCACCAGAAACUCUUGUUUUAUUUUUGCAUUUCAUGAAACUCAUUAUUUUUCUAUUUGAAACACAAUAGAUAAUAAAUUAAAACUAAAAUAUCAUAUUUUUUUGAAAUGCUUAAUGAAAACACGUUUUUAAAAAAUCUUAAGAAGUGCCAUAAAGAAAUAAUCAAAAUUAGAAAAAAAAAUAUAACAGAUCACAUGCCGUACAUAAAGUAUGUAAUAUUGUAACAACCCCUUUUUUUUAAUGAAGUCAUUAACAGAUGUUAGAUUUCAAUUAUAUGUCCAAUAAUUUAUACCUAAGAUUGGUAAAUCACACAUUUUUGUAGUUCUGUAUGUAAUUCAAUAUUGUCUAUAUUAAACAAAAUAUCUAUGUAAUUAUGUUGUACGUUUUCUGAAUUCUUGUAAAGUAUUUUAAUAUUUUUAAUAUUUUUUUCAUAUUUUUUCAUCUUGAAGUUAUUGUUCUAUUUAUAAUUAAAAAUAAGAAUUUAUGAAAACUUAUUCUUAAGAAGUAAAUUACUUUGCAAAAUUUUAUCAACAUUUUCCUUAGUUACUAGGUUUUAUUUCAAAUAACAGAUCGUAAAUAGCUCCAAAUGAUGGUUGCAUAUAUUUUUAAAGAUCAGUUGCAGAAUUCUGAAUCAAAUUCUUACAUAAAAUAUUGGUACUCUUCUUUUGAAUCUUCAAUAUUAUUGCUAUCAAACAAUCUCAUGGUUCUAUAUGAUUGUACAUCUAAAAUCAUUAACCACAUAUAAAUUGCAUAAGAAAAUUUAGUUUUGUAGCUUUAAAAAUGUGAUUUCUUUGACUUAUCAAAAAAUAACUUACUUCUUUAAUAGAGGUUUAAAUAAUAGUUUUACAUUAAAUAAUUUUUUUAAUUCAAAUUAACAACUUGGAUCUUCUAAUCUAUUAAAAACAAUGUUUUUAUUGUAAUUGAAUUAUCAUCUAAAAUAAGAAGUUUAAAUGAAUAUUUAACAACCUAAAUAAAACUAAGCUAACAUAGUUUGUUAAUUUCUUUUUAAAGAAUUAUUGUUACAAUAUAUAGCUCUUAAAUUAAUAUUAUUUAUAAUAUGAAACAUAUGUGUUAAAUGGUUGGUUAAUGAAAAGUUGAUAAAUCAAAGGUUCUAAAAAGAUAAUUCUCAAAUCUUACAUUUGUAAUAAAACAACAAUAAUAAACAUAUUAUUGCGGACAUUAUAUUUUUUUAUAUGAUAUAAUUAAUAAUAAACAAAUGCACAUAAUUUCAAACAUAAGAGUAGUCAAUAUUAUGGAUAUUUCUUUUAAGUUCAUUAUAUAUAUACAUAUACUCAAUAAUUAUAGCAAAAAGAUACCAUUUUAUUAUAAGUUUUAAAUCAUGUCAGACCAAGUUAUUUGUUUUAAUACACCUUAACAUGGAUUAACAUGGAAUAACUUAGUUUAUGUAUGAUUCAAUAAAAUCAUGACCUAAUAAUUAUAUAUAUAGUAGAGGGUUUGUAUAAUAUAAUAAUAUAACUAUAUUAUUAUAGAUUAUCAUGUUAUUAAAGUUUAAAACCAUUUCUAUAUAUAUCCUGAUAAAAACUCCACGUAACACACAAGGAAACUUACGGAUUGUGUGUAUGUAUAAAUCCAUUUGUCUUUUCAGAAUCUGAAUGUCAAUUGAUUCCCAAGACCGAGCCAAGCAGAAGUAAGAAAAACUUGGAUAGCAAAAUGGCUUAAAUCCACGCCUCCGAAGCUCUACCCUAAACCCUAAUCCCACAUUUCGCCAAACAAGGUUAAGUUUAGUUUGGUUUCCAUGUAAAUAAAAAACAGUUUUGCUUGUGAAGGAUCCAGUUUUGCAACAUCUCUUCCAUCUGCUCCAGUCUCCAGGAAUUCCCGCCGAGGUAACAGUAACAGCAGCAGCAGCAGCAUCGUCACAGCUUCGGCGAAAGGAAUGUAACGAUGUACAGAAGAGAAUCUAUUGAUAGAUAUCUAUCAAGUCAAAUGAAGAAGAAAUGAAUGUAAAAG
rnacentral:lncRNA from 1 species